AGGCAGAGACAGAGGCAGAGAGAGGGAAGAGAAGCAGCCUCCAUGCAGGGAGUCCAAUGUGGGACUCAAUCCCGGGAAUUCGGGAUCUCACCCUGAGCCAAAGGCAGACGCUCAACUGCUGAGCCACCCAGGCAUCCCUAUUUGAAACAUCUUAACUGUAUUAAUAAAAUUAAUAUUCUUUCUCCAUGAGGCUCCUGGAAUAUAUACGAACAAACUGCAGCAUGGUGAGGCUAAGUACUGUAUUGUAUUGUAUGGAUGUAGAUUUCUGUGACUUGUCUGCAUAAACUACCACCCCGACCUGCAGGGACAUAGACAGGCUAAAGAAUGUCGAUUGUGAGACUUGGGCUGCCUAAGUGACCUUGGGAUUCUGAUUAGUGGACAUUAGCUGGAUUUCAGGUCAGAAUUGGCCUUUCUGGUCUCGAUGCCAGGGCUGUAACUUUUGCCUUAUAUCCAUCCCCCUCCAGCUCCAGGAUGGGCUGACCUCUACAACGGAAUCCAGGAGGGAGUCCAGGCAAGCCCAAGGGCCCAGGCUCCUAGAGCAUAUAAAGACAUGAUAAUAUAGGAAUGCGGCUAGCAUUAACUUCAGACCCCAUCUCGUGCCCUAUAAAUACAGCUCUUCUGGGGAUGGUCAGCUGAAAGUCUCACCUCAGGGGAGGAUGCUCUGCCCAGGCUUCUCAGUCUCGACUUCAGCCUGGCUGUCUCCACUGGGCUUCUCCAGCUAAUAAGGUUGGAGGUUAAGUACUCAAUUUGAUGUAACUCUGUCUAUUCUCCUUUACUGCUGACUAUUGCUCUCAUCUAUGUGCAGAUUUCCCUUUUCUUCUUUCUGUUUUUAUUAGAUUUUUAUAAUAUCAAUAAGGUGUUAUAAUAUCGAUAAAGUGUUUUUCCCCCUUCAAAAGCAAGUGUACGGAUACUGUGAAUCUUUUGUUCAGAACAUAUAUCUCAAACAAAAAACAAAUUUAGAAGUGACUGAAUCAGAAUUUCUAAAUUUUGUUUUUAUGGAUCUAAAUUAUGUAUUACUCUGACAUUGCUUCAUUUAAUUUUCUUCAAGAUAUCUCCACUUUCAUGGCCCACAGUCAAAAAAAUAAUAAUAAUAAUGUGCAAACUUGACUUCAUUGCCUAUCCUUCAAAAUGAAUAAAUCUGUUCCUUUCUUGUAUCUCAUAUGAGGUGAAUACCCAUUGCCAUAGCUACAAAUCUAGAUGUUCUUUUUUUCUGACCUUCAUAUUCAACUCUUCUACCAAAUUCUAUUGAUUUUUUCUUAGUAGCUCCCUAGUCAAUUCCUUACAAAUCUAUCUUAAUUCAAGCCCAUAUCCUUAUUUGUAGAAAUCGCUAUAAUAUACUCUGAACUUGUUUUCUUUAUUUCCCCUGGUGUCCGAUCUAUUCAGACAAUGCUACAACAGUAGUCUACCUAAUAAUGAAAUCUGAGAGCAGCCCGGGUGGCUCAGCGGUUUAGCACCGCCUUCAGCCCAGAGUGUGAUCCUGGAGACCCCGAAUUGAGUCCCAUAUCGGGCACCUUGUAGGAGCUUGCUUCUCUCUCUCUGUCUCUCAUGAAUAAAUAAAUAAUGUCUUUUUAAAAAAUAAUGAAAUCUCCUUUCCUUCUGAUUAUGCCAUGAAGCUAGAUAAAACGUUUCAGGAUUCUCCAUAUUGCAUUGAAUUGGUAAUUCAUUUUUACUCACUUUGCCUCUCUAUUAGAAUGUGAACUAUUUGAAUGCAAACUAGAUCUUUGAACUCCUAGCCCAGGGUCCGAUACUAACAA
rnacentral:lncRNA from 1 species